CCUACGGGGGGCAGCAGUGGGGAAUAUUGGACAAUGGGGGGAACCCUGAUCCAGCCAUGCCGCGUGUGUGAAGAAGGCCCUCGGGUUGUAAAGCACUUUCAGUGAGGAAGAACGCCUGGUGGUUAAUACCCAUCAGGAAAGACAUCACUCACAGAAGAAGCACCGGCUAACUCCGUGCCAGCAGCCGCGGUAAUACGGAGGGUGCGAGCGUUAAUCGGAAUUACUGGGCGUAAAGCGCGCGUAGGUGGCUUGAUAAGCCGGUUGUGAAAGCCCCGGGCUCAACCUGGGAACGGCAUCCGGAACUGUCAAGCUAGAGUGCAGGAGAGGAAGGUAGAAUUCCCGGUGUAGCGGGGAAAUGCGUAGAGAUCGGGAGGAAUACCAGUGGCGAAGGCGGCCUUCUGGACUGACACUGACACUGAGGUGCGAAAGCGUGGGUAGCAAACAGGAUUAGAUACCCGAGUAGUC
rnacentral:rRNA from 1 species